AUGAUCUUCCUUACACUUCACCUGGACCUCAUUUGUUCUGUUCUGGACUCUGUCCAGGCUCCUGCAGACACCUUCAGAGGGUUUGUGUUCAGUGAUUCAGUAGUGGAGAAACCAAACUGGAUGUUGGCAUUUGUAUCACUGUGGUCCACUUUUGGUGGAGGCACCAAAGUUUCAGUUGGACGUGACACCCGGCCCACCCUCACGGUCCUGCCCCCCUCCAGCAUGGAGCUGCAGCAGGGGAAAGCCACACUCAUGUGUCUGGCCAACAAGGGCUUCCCCUCAGACUGGAAGCUGAGCUGGAAGGUGGAUGGUAAGAGUUGGAGUUCAGGGGUGAGCUCCAGCCCUGGGGUUUUACAGAAGGACGGUCUCUACAGCUGGAGCAGCACCCUCACCCUCCAGGAGGAGCAGUGGAGUAAGAUGUCAGUGACCUGUGAGGCCACACAGGGCUCCCAGUCUGCAGUGACCCAGACACUGAGUAAAGACCAGUGUUCUGAGUAGUGACAACACACACACAC